ACCCGCAAGCCCGAGAGCGACUCUGCGAGCAUCGCUCCCGCGCGGUCAGUGCCAAAUCUCGCCCCCCGCCGCCUGCGGGACCCGAACCGGCGUCUUGAGAGAGCCCGGCCCUCCUCCUUCCUCUCUCGCUCGGCGCCCGCCGUGAGCGCCGCCCCGAGGCCCAGCCCGCGUCUAGAGCAGGCGGCGGCCAGGCGGUGGGGUCGAAGCGACUGCACAGAGCCGUGUCUGAGUCGCAGAGAAGCCUUGGCGGAGGCGGAAGCGGAAGCGCCGGGCCGGGCCGCGCCGGGCAGUGUGUGACCCUGGGAAGCACGACCUUCCCCGGGUUCAAGUCGUUCCCCUUCCAGCCCCUGGCGAGGUGGACUCUGAGCAUCUGUGUAGCCUGGAUGACCUUGCCCCGGAGGAGCCGAGGUGGGCACGCCAGGAGAGGCCCCCAGGGAUGUCAUGACGACCCGAAUCGCGGAAUCAUGUAGUCUCUCCUACCGCGGAACAGUUCACGAUGAAAAGGAACCAUUCGUGUUCAAAGGGCUGAUUGUCAGCAUAGGCAGAGCCCAGAACCACACGUGAAAAUUUACUGGAAAAACAGGGAGCCUGGGACUGGGGAUGGGGGACAAAGGGGACUUUAAUUGGCAUUGUUUUGUUUCUGUUCUAUGGAAGAGGCAGAGGUGGGGGACUGGGAACAUGAGUGCCUAUUAGGAUGCUGUAUACUUUUUUGGUAAACCUUUUAUUUUCUUUAAAUUAAAUAAAGGGGGGAAUUAGGUACCCCUGUUCUUGUUUGGCCUGUGA